rnacentral:rRNA from 1 species
UACGUAGGGCGCAAGCGUUGUCCGGAAUUAUUGGGCGUAAAGAGCUCGUAGGCGGUUUGUCGCGUCUGCUGUGAAAACUCGAGGCUCAACCUCGGGCCUGCAGUGGGUACGGGCAGACUAGAGUGCGGUAGGGGAGAUUGGAAUUCCUGGUGUAGCGGUGGAAUGCGCAGAUAUCAGGAGGAACACCGGUGGCGAAGGCGGAUCUCUGGGCCAUAACUGACGCUGAGGAGCGAAAGCUGGGGAGCGAACAGG